AUGUCCGUCGCGUUCGCAGGAGUUUUAUAUUUCCUUGAACCGAUGCUCUUUGAGCAAGGGCUUGGAACAUCGUCCUGCUGGUGCGAUCGUCUCGCGUCAGAUGAACCCGAAGCUUGACUGACCUCGCCCACCUGAAUCCCCUGGGUUCAGGAAUGCGGCUCCUGGUUCGUGGCGGACACC
rnacentral:other from 1 species